CCAGACUCCUACGGGAGGCAGCAGUGGGGAAUAUUGGACAAUGGACCAAGAGUCUGAUCCAGCAAUUCUGUGUGCACGAUGAAGUUUUUCGGAAUGUAAAGUGCUUUCAGUUGGGAAGAAAAAAAUGACGGUACCAACAGAAGAAGUGACGGCUAAAUACGUGCCAGCAGCCGCGGUAAUACGUAUGUCACGAGCGUUAUCCGGAUUUAUUGGGCGUAAAGCGCGUCUAGGUGGUUAUGUAAGUCUGAUGUGAAAAUGCAAGGCUCAACUCUGUAUUGCGUUGGAAACUGUGUAACUAGAGUACUGGAGAGGUAAGCGGAACUACAAGUGUAGAGGUGAAAUUCGUAGAUAUUUGUAGGAAUGCCGAUGGGGAAGCCAGCUUACUGGACAGAUACUGACGCUGAAGCGCGAAAGCGUGGGUAGCAAACAGGAUUAGAUACCCUGGUAGUCCACGCCGUAAACGAUGAUUACUAGGUGUUGGGGGUCGAACCUCAGCGCCCAAGCAAACGCGAUAAGUAAUCCGCCUGGGGAGUACGUACGCAAGUAUGAAACUCAAAGGAAUUGACGGGGGCCCGCACAAG
rnacentral:rRNA from 1 species